UGGGGAAUUUUGGACAAUGGGCGAAAGCCUGAUCCAGCAAUGCCGCGUGCAGGACGAAGGCCUUCGGGUUGUAAACUGCUUUUGUACGGAACGAAACGGUCUCUUUUAAUAAAGGGGGCUAAUGACGGUACCGUAAGAAUAAGCACCGGCUAACUACGUGCCAGCAGCCGCGGUAAUACGAAGGGGGCUAGCGUUGUUCGGAAUUACUGGGCGUAAAGGGCGCGUAGGCGGCCUACCAAGUCAGACGUGAAAGCCCCGGGCUUAACCUGGGAAUUGCGCUUGAUACUGGUAAGCUCGAGUUCGGGAGAGGUGAGUGGAAUUCCGCGUGUAGCAGUGAAAUGCGUAGAUAUGCGGAGGAACACCGAUGGCGAAGGCAAUCCCCUGGACCUGUACUGACGCUCAUGCACGAAAGCGUGGGGAGCAAACAGG
rnacentral:rRNA from 1 species